CCUACGGGUGGCAGCAGUAGGGAAUAUUGCUCAAUGGGGGAAACCCUGAAGCAGCAACGCCGCGUGGAGGAUGAAGGUUUUCGGAUUGUAAACUCCUUUUGUUAGAGAAGAUAAUGACGGUAUCUAACGAAUAAGCAACGGCUAAUACCGUGACAGCAGCCGCGGUAAUACGGAGGGUGCAAGCGUGACUCGGAAUCACUGGGCGUAAAGAGCGCGUAGGCGGGAUAGCAAGUCAGUUGUGAAAUCCUAUGGCUUAACCAUAGAACUGCAUUUGAAACUGUUAUUCUAGAGUACGGGAGAGGUAGGUGGAAUUCUUGGUGUAGCGGUAAAAUGCGUAGAGAUCAAGAGGAAUACUCAUUGCGAAGGCAGCAUACCAGCGCUCAACUGACGCUGAUGCACGAAAGUGUGGGUAUCGAACAGGAUUAGAUACCCCUGUAGUC
rnacentral:rRNA from 1 species